rnacentral:rRNA from 1 species
UAUGUAGGGAGCAAGCGUUGUCCGGAUUUACUGGGUGUAAAGGGUGCGUAGGCGGCUUUGCAAGUCAGAAGUGAAAUCCAUGGGCUUAACCCAUGAACUGCUUUUGAAACUGCAGAGCUUGAGUGGAGUAGAGGUAGGCGGAAUUCCCGGUGUAGCGGUGAAAUGCGUAGAGAUCGGGAGGAACACCAGUGGCGAAGGCGGCCUGCUGGGCUCUAACUGACGCUGAGGCACGAAAGCGUGGGUAGCAAACAGG